UUAGGAUCCAUAUAAAUACGCUCCAAUUUUCGAACCAGUCAUCCGCUUGAAAACAGCAACAGCGGCGCCGGGUGCCUUCAGUUCACAGCUAUUGCAGCGCUACUCUCGUCAUGUUGACUACGACUUCCUGUGCUAAAGGGCGAACCUGUUGUAAAGACCUCAUCCACUUGACAACAGCAACAGCAGCGGUGGAUGCCUUCAGUUCACAGCUAUUGCAGUGCAACACUCGUCGUGUUGACUUCGACUUCCUUUGCUAAAGGGCGAACCUGUUGUACAGACCAUCAUUAGCAACUACACCAGAGGUGAUUCUGCAUUCCUCCAGAAGCUUCAAAUCAGCACGGGCUUCAGCUUCGUUUCCAGCGCUGCAUGGACAUUUGGGGACGCCAAGUCAACUGUAG